GGUGAAUUUUCCGCAAUGGGCGAAAGCCUGACGGAGCAAUACCGCGUGCGGGACGAAGGCUUUUGGGUCGUAAACCGCUUUUGUUAGGGAAGAACACAAUGACGGUACCUAACGAAUCAGCAUCGGCUAACUCCGUGCCAGCAGCCGCGGUAAUACGGAGGAUGCAAGCGUUAUCCGGAAUUAUUGGGCGUAAAGCGUCCGCAGGUGGUUUAUCAAGUCUGCUGUUAAAUCGUAGGGCUUAACCCUAUAAAGGCAGUGGAAACUGAGAGACUAGAGUACGGUAGGGGUAGCGGGAAUUCCCAGUGUAGCGGUGAAAUGCGUAGAUAUUGGGAAGAACACCAGCGGCGAAGGCGCGCUACUGGGCCGAAACUGACACUCAUGGACGAAAGCUAGGGGAGCGAAAGGGAUUAGAUACCCCUGUAGUCCUAGCUGUAAACGAUGACAACUAGGUGUUGCGCGUAUCGACCCGUGCAGUGCCGUAGCUAACGCGUUAAGUUGUC
rnacentral:rRNA from 1 species